UACGGGGGGGGCAAGCGUUGUUCGGAAUUACUGGGCGUAAAGGGCUCGUAGGCGGCCAACUAAGUCAGACGUGAAAUCCCUCGGCUUAACCGGGGAACUGCGUCUGAUACUGGAUGGCUAGAGUGUGGGAGAGGGAUGCGGAAUUCCAGGUGUAGCGGUGAAAUGCGUAGAUAUCGUAAGGAAGACCAGUGGCGAAGGCGGGUCUCUGGACAGUUCCUGACGCUGAGGCACGAAGGUCAGGGGAGCAAACGGG
rnacentral:rRNA from 1 species